rnacentral:rRNA from 1 species
CAGGAGAGUAAGAUGCCAUCCUAUCAGUUAGUAAGUAGGGUAAGGGCCUACUUAGACGAAGACGGGUACGGGGAAUGAGGGUUUGAUUCCGGAGAGGGAGCCUGAGAGAUGGCUACCAGGACCAAGGUCAGCAGCAGGCGCGAAAAUUAUCGAAGCCCGCCUAGGGGCGAUAGUGAGGAGACGUGUAUAACGAAGUACGUGUAAAGAACGUGCUAAUAACUGGAGGUCAAGUCUGGUGCCAGCAUCCGCGGUAAUUCCAGCUCCAGGGGUGUCUAUGAUGAUUGCUGCGAUUAAAAAGUCCGUAGUCAAUCUGACUGACUGGCCUGCAAUGUGAUUGAUUAAAGAACGAGCAGGGUUAGGAAAGCAGAGAAUCAGGAGCGACCGAGGGCUAGAGUAUUGAAUGGCGAGAGGUGAAAUUUGAUGACCCAUUCAGGAGUGACAAAGGCGAAGGCACUAGUCAAGGGCGAAUCCGAUGAUCAAGGACGUAGGCUAGAGUUUCGAAAACGAUUAGAGACCGGAGUAGUUCUAGCAGUAAACUAUGCCGACGCCGUGGUAUCAUUUUGGUAUUGCGGAAGAGAAAUCAAGUAAGGCUUUGGGGAGAGUACGCGCGCAAGCGAUAAAUUUAAAGGAAAUUGACGGAGGAACACCACAAGGAGUGGAGUGUGCGGCUUAAUUUGACUCAACGCGGGACAGCUUACCAGGCCCGAUAAUCGAGCGAGCGUAGUACGCGAUAGGUUAAAGAGUGGUGCAUGGCUGCUAUCGACAGUUGGGGUGACCUUAGGGUUAAUUCCGGCAAGUAGUGAGACCCCUGCAGAUAGUGGACAGGUAUUUUUAAAAUACAGGAAGGAAGGGACAAGAGCAGGUCAGUGAUGCCCUUAGAUGGCCUGGGCUGCACGCGCACUACAGUGGUCAUUAUAAGUAGAAGUUAGAUAUAAAGAUGAUCGAGAGGGACUGAGCUUUGUAAGAGGCUCACGAACGAGGAAUUGCUAGUAAUCGUAGGCUCAUUAAGAUACGAUGA